rnacentral:rRNA from 1 species
GAUCCUGGCUCAGAAUCAACGCUGGCGGCGUGCCUAACACAUGCAAGUCGCACGAGAAAGGGGCUUCGGCUCUGAGUAAAGUGGCGGACGGGUGAGUAACACGUGGGUGAUCUACCCUCCAGUGGGGGAUAACACACCGAAAGGUGUGCUAAUACCGCAUGGAGUUCCGGUCGUCAGGAUCGGAAUGAAAGCAGCAAUGUGCUGGAGGAGGAGCCCGCGCCGGAUUAGCUAGUUGGCAGGGUAAUGGCCUACCAAGGCAACGAUCCGUAGCCGGCCUGAGAGGGUGACCGGCCACACUGGAACUGAGACACGGUCCAGACUCCUACGGGAGGCAGCAGUGGGGAAUUUUGCGCAAUGGGGGAAACCCUGACGCAGCAACGCCGCGUGGACGAUGAAGGCCCUUGGGUCGUAAAGUCCUGUCAGCAGGGAAAAACACAAUGAUGGUACCUGCAGAGGAAGCUCCGGCUAACUUCGUGCCAGCAGCCGCGGUAAUACGAGGGGAGCAAGCGUUGUUCGGAAUCAUUGGGCGUAAAGGGCGCGUAGGCGGCUGCACAAGUCCAGGGUGAAAGCCCUCGGCUCAACCGAGGAACGGCCUUGGAAACUGUGCGGCUAGAGUAUUGGAGAGGAAAGCGGAAUUCCCAGUGUAGCGGUGAAAUGCGUAGAUAUUGGGAGGAACACCGGUGGCGAAGGCGGCUUUCUGGACAAUCACUGACGCUGAGGCGCGAAAGCUAGGGGAGCAAACG